rnacentral:lncRNA from 1 species
GGUUCAGAAAAAUGUAUCUCUAGUGUCACUCAAUUGGACAGCCAAGACGACACACCCCACAGCCCUUCAAAGCUAUGGUUAAUCAUGCAUGUCCGAGCGCUCCCAAGUUAGCUAUCCGAGCUUCUCUAUAGGCUCUUGUGCCACGAUCCCAAUUUUGUAUCCUCAACAUACCUUUCAAUUUAUGAACAUACCACUCGACAAUAUUUAUGGCUUGUCACACAUCAAUGCACACU